rnacentral:rRNA from 1 species
AUUGAACGCUGGCGGCAGGCCUAACACAUGCAAGUCGAACGGUAGCACAGAGAGCUUGCUCUUGGGUGACGAGUGGCGGACGGGUGAGUAAUGUCUGGGAAACUGCCCGAUGGAGGGGGAUAACUACUGGAAACGGUAGCUAAUACCGCAUAACGUCGCAAGACCAAAGUGGGGGGACCUUCGGGCCUCACACCAUCGGAUGUGCCCAGAUGGGAUUAGCUAGUAGGUGGGGUAAUGGACUCACCUAGGCGACGAUCCCUAGCUGGUCUGAGAGGAUGACCAGCCACACUGGAACUGAGACACGGUCCAGACUCCUACGGGAGGCAGCAGUGGGGAAUAUUGCACAAUGGGCGCAAGCCUGAUGCAGCCAUGCCGCGUGUAUGAAGAAGGCCUCGGG